GAUGAACGCUGGCGGCGUGCCUAAUACAUGCAAGUCGAGCGAACGGACGAGAAGCUUGCUUCUCUGAUGUUAGCGGCGGACGGGUGAGUAACACGUGGAUAACCUACCUAUAAGACUGGGAUAACUUCGGGAAACCGGAGCUAAUACCGGAUGAUAUUUUGAACCGCAUGGUUCAAAAGUGAAAGACGGUCUUGCUGUCACUUAUAGAUGGAUCCGCGCUGCAUUAGCUAGUUGGUAAGGUAACGGCUUACCAAGGCAACGAUGCAUAGCGGACCUGAGCGGGUGAACGACCACACGGGAACAGAGACACGGUCCAGACUCCUACGGGAGGCAGCAGUAGGGAAUCUUCCGCAAAGGACGAAAGCCUGACGGUGCAAAGCCGCGUGAGUGAUGAAGAUCUUCGGAUCGUAAAGCUCUGUUAUUAGGGAAGAACAUAUGUGUAAGUAACUGUGCACAUCUUGACGGUACCUAAUCAGAAAGCCCCGGCUAACUACGUG
rnacentral:rRNA from 1 species